GAUGAACGCUGGCGGCGUGCUUAACACAUGCAAGUCGAGCGAAGCGCUUUGGAAAGAUUCUUCGGAUGAUUUCCUUUGUGACUGAGCGGCGGACGGGUGAGUAACGCGUGGGUAACCUGCCUCAUACAGGGGGAUAACAGUUAGAAAUGACUGCUAAUACCGCAUAAGACCACGGUACCGCAUGGUACAGUGGUAAAAACUCCGGUGGUAUGAGAUGGACCCGCGUCUGAUUAGGUAGUUGGUGGGGUAACGGCCUACCAAGCCGACGAUCAGUAGCCGACCUGAGAGGGUGACCGGCCACAUUGGGACUGAGACACGGCCCAGACUCCUACGGGAGGCAGCAGUGGGGAAUAUUGCACAAUGGAGGAAACUCUGAUGCAGCGACGCCGCGUGAAGGAUGAAGUAUUUCGGUAUGUAAACUUCUAUCAGCAGGGAAGAAAAU
rnacentral:rRNA from 1 species